rnacentral:rRNA from 1 species
GACGGAGGAUGCAAGUGUUAUCCGGAAUCACUGGGCGUAAAGCGUCUGUAGGUGGUCAAAUAAGUCAACUGUUAAAUCUUGGGGCUCAACCUCAAAAUCGCAGUCGAAACUAUUAGACUAGAGUAUAGUAGGGGUAAAGGGAAUUUCCAGUGGAGCGGUGAAAUGCGUAGAGAUUGGAAAGAACACCGAUGGCGAAGGCACUUUACUGGGCUAUUACUAACACUCAGAGACGAAAGCUAGGGUAGCAAAUGGG